rnacentral:rRNA from 1 species
UGAGGAAUAUUGGACAAUGGAUGGAAAUCUGAUCCAGCCAUGCCGCGUGCAGGAAGACGGCCCUAUGGGUUGUAAACUGCUUUUGUAUGGGAGCAAUAAGGACUACGUGUAGUUUGAUGAGAGUACCAUACGAAUAAGCAUCGGCUAACUACGUGCCAGCAGCCGCGGUAAUACGUAGGUGGCAAGCGUUGUCCGGAUUUACUGGGCGUAAAGGAUGCGUAGGCGGAUACUUAAGUCAGAUGUGAAAAUCCCGGGCUUAACUUGGGAACUGCAUUUGAAACUGGGUAUCUAGAGUGCGGGAGAGGAAAGUGGAAUUCCUAGUGUAGCGGUGAAAUGCGUAGAGAUUAGGAAGAACACCAGUGUCGAAGGCGACUUUCUGGACCGUAACUGACGCUGAGGCAUGAAAGCGUGGGGAGCAAACA